AAACUAAUAUGUGAUCAAUAUCAUUGUGAAUGGCUCAAAUAUAGUAUUUCUUAGCUUCUGUGUUUACCCACAACAAAAGUGUUCUUCAAUUCUACAACAGCAUUAUGAAAGGCAACCCUUUUAGGCACUUGGAGGAAGUCUGUUUGUAAACGUUUUCUCCCCCUUUCCCUUUAAUUAUGACUUCAUUUCCCAAAUGCUAGUGCUAUAGGUUCAUAAGUACAAGGACCACAGUGCUGUAGGUGAAGAAACACCAGCGCAUCAGACAGAAGUAGCUGCUCUGCAGAAUGGCAUGGAGGAAAACAACAAUGGCGCUUCCAGGAGGUGCUCUGCAGAAGGAACCACGUGACUGGAAGCAGCCUUGUAAGGAGGGAGGAUGCCAAGACACUCUUUGCCUUCUACACUCAUUGGAACAGCGAUCUGCGGAUCCUGCGCCCUCACCCCCCACCCCCAGGGAGACCUUCUCCUGGAGGUUCACAAACCCUUCUGCCAGGGCUGAGGACUGGCCCGAUUGGGGAGGACUCUGGACUCAGUGGGAAUUGGAGCGGCUAACUGGGGCCAAGUGUCUCUGCUCUGAGCUGCGAAAAUGUGACCAGGUAGUCACCUGGGGGGUUGGCUUUAAAUCGUUUAAAGAAAAAAUUAAUAAAUAAGUAGUUCACUCUC